AUGAUGGUGACAGCUGGAUCCUGAAAGAUUAAUUCUAGUUGAUUAUUUUCUAUGGGAAAAUUGAUUGUAAAUGCCUACACAUUGUAGCUCAGCAUCCCCCAUUGUGUUCGACCUCUGAGGUUCCACUGUAUGAUCCAUUAAUGUGAAAUUGGGAUGCUACAUCAAGUGACCUUUUAGCCUGUGUCUCCUGUAGAAGUACUGGAUGGUGAGAGUGAGUGUGAAGAGGAAGAUGGAGAGCAAUCCCAGCGAGCAGAUCAGCACGGCGCACACGUUCACAUCUACGCAAGACGAAAUGCAUUGGAACAACAUUAAAAACCAGCCAUUAAUGUUGGGAAACAUUAGUGCUAAGGACCAGGGGAAUACCUGACAACAGACGCCAAAUUCCUUCACUGCUAUGAGCCUCCAGAGUAAAAUGCACUGGAGAGAGGGCGGGGAAAAAAAAGGGAAAUUUUGAGAAGAAGAAAACAGUUCAGGCUAAGCAUCUUGUGUUGUUGUUGCUGUUUUCUGAAGGAACAGACCCACUGUAAACCAAACAGACUCAGUGGUUUCCAGAAAUAUCACACAAGCUGGCAUCAGUGAGAUGCCUGCGGCUAUGUGGCUUUUCGUCAGUGGGGCAUUGGCCUGAAUGUAGGACAGGGCGUUGGCAGAUGCCUCCACCAUGUUGGCGUUUCUCCACGAGAGGUUGACCUGCUUGUUUCUGCUCCUCGAUCAAGCCUCCAUCUGUGCUCACGAAACCGGCAACCUUAUUCGUCACUGCAGGCGCUUCAGGAGGAUCACCUUUCAAUGUGGCGACCUGAGAGAGGGCCUGGGCGUAGGUGGCAGAGUUGAGGAGGGUCCCCGGCAGACAUGAUGGGAAGAAGGGACCGCCAGGACCCACGGGCCUGUUCAUGCUGACCAAAACAAAGCCCACAGAUAAGAAAUGAUAUACUUUCAUGCAUCGCGUGAUGCAUCCUGAGCACCCGGCGUCAAUGUC